rnacentral:lncRNA from 1 species
CAGUUUUUUUUUUUCUUUUCUUUUCCUUUUUUUAUCUACAUGAUUUCUUUGCUAUUUGAAAGAGAGACUUAACCUUAUGGUCAUAGAAAUUCAUUAUAAUGGGAAGCAGAUUCUUAAGAAAAUAAAAUUUGUGCCUGUAUUCCAGCUGUUAAAAUUCCAUUUCAAAUGCUGAAAAAAAUUGUUUCAAAAGAGCCAUCUUCCAGAAAGUAAUUCACAUAAUCCCUCUAUUUAGGAAUAAAUAUUGAAUUCAGUAGAAUCAAGUAAAUAGUAGUAAACUUGAUAACACAUAAAGCAUUUAAUACUUGUGUAGUGCUUAGUAGUUAUGCAGCACAUUUCAUCGUCAAAAUGCCUUAGCAACAGUAAGUAAGGUUUCUUGUCAAUACUCCUAUAAAGAGAUAGGCAAGCAUUACUAACAGGAAUCUGUCUCACUUAAAUCCCUAGCACCUAUUUGGGUCUACCAUUUUAUAUUUAUUUGUUCCCAGAAGAAAAUCUAACUGCUUGUGUAAUAAAAAUUCAUGUUAUUUACCUCCACCACUGAUUUCUUUGGACAGCUGGUUCUGCAAGCCUGCCUCUGUGUGGUUUCCUAAGUCAUGCGACACAAACUCAAAGGCCAUGACAUACUGUACCUGUCAGAGCCUGUACCCAGUAAAUGAUUCCUAAUAAUCUCGACAGAAUAUUGGUAAUUCCCUUGAAACAUAAAUGUUCUUCCUGAUUACUGGAGCCCAUUUCAAAUGAUUUAGGUUAAGAUUUUAGUUCUUUUUUUGCUGAAUGACAGAGUUACUAUUUUUGCUCUUAUUUUUCUUGUUGGGAAGAGUGUUUAAAUUUGAAUCUUUUAGCCCUAUUUUUCCCCUGACUUUCCAAGUAUAAUUUCACAGUGUCUGCCAUCUGAAGAUGUUCUAGUACUCUGAAACUUUACUCAAAGAUGAUGUAUAAGUACAUUCAGAAUGAACAGUGCAAUAUUAGAAAAAUUUAAGAAAGAAUUUUAAGUUUAUCCAUUGAUAAAGCUGAACCUGAAACACUAACAAGGACUUAUGUCUCUAUGGCGCUUUUGUCAUUUCAGAAUUUGCUCAGAUUAUUGUGUUUCUCAAGGUAGCCAUUUGAUAAUGCGUUUAUCAAUUACCCCUUAUUGGUACAGGAAGAAACCAAAAUUCAGAAAUGUGAAAUGAAUCCCUAAAAUGGGACUUAAAACCACAACUUCUGAUUUCAAGUGCAAGUCUCUACUCCCAAUUUUACACCAGUGGUUUCCACCUUUUGACUCAGAAUCCACUGGAGGAGGGAGAUUGGGGUGGAGCCUGGAAUCACUGUUUGGAAGCAGGCAUUGUGUGAUGUGACAUUUCAUGUCUUAUGUGUACUAUUGGUUUUAGUUAUAUGGGGGAUAAAAUACAAAUUCACUGAGAAGCAUUACUGAAUCAGUAAUGGUUUACUUAGCCUUUAUGUAUUUUCUUAAUAAACAAAUACCAGACUUACUGUCUCUAUCAAGUGUAGCCUGGAGUUUAAUAGCUGCUAUCUCUGAAAUCAGCCAUUGUCGAUGUCAAGCAAGUUCCUUGACCUCUCCAUGCCUCUAUUUCCUCAUCUGUAAAAUGGAGAUAAUGCUCUAGUUCAAAGCAUAUUGUGAAAAUUAAGUGAAAUAAAUAAUACAUGAGAAGUACUUAAAACACUGUCUAGCAUAUAGCAAGUGCUCAGUAAUUGUUAAAUAUUAUUUUUAUCAUUAAAAGUGUCAUUAUGAUCAUGGGUAGGUCCAUAGAAUGUUGUGAUUUUAGAAAGAGGUUUUCUUACUUCAAAGAUGGGAACCAGUUUUCCUUCUGAUACUGUUGUGGGCCUCAUUAUUUUGGUUAAAAUUGGCCAAUACAAUUGAGCUAUUUCACAUUUUUCUGUGACUUAAAAACUCAACUUUAAGUUACAACAUGACUCGAGAUUAGAACAUAGGACUUCCACAAUGGAGAGAGAAGGCAAACAAAAUCAAAUGGGUGUGCUCAGGCCUCACAUCCUUGGAGUAGGACCACCAGGACUCCACCCAGAGUGUUCUCUGCAGCCUGGAAGAUCAUGGGCCUCAUCCUUUUUUAGCUUUCAUUUUCAGGUCCAGAGUGUAGUGCAAAUCACUAUGGGAAAUCUUGUAAAGAAGAUUAAAAAUGGGGGAAGAGCAAACUGGCCUCUAAGCAUCUUGCUAAAAUAAACCACUUCUUCCUAAGCUCAAGACAGCAAGAAAGAGUUUAAGAGCAUUGAAAUAAAUUCACCACCUGUUUGUACAGCAGAAUCAAAGAGUUCUAGCAAACAUAAGAAUGCUUUGAUCCUUUGCAACCAGAAGAAAAUUAUGAAGCUCUUCAUUGAUAGUUCAUGGGGAGUUUGGGGACACUGAUCAAAGAAAACUAUUAUUAUAGACUGGAAAUUAAAAUAACCUGAAUAUAAGCUACUUCGGUACAUUAUACUUCUUUCAAUGGUGAAUUGCAUAUUUAAAAAUUCAAAGGCCCUGCUUAUGAUUAAGUUAAAUGUUAUUGUGACUUCUAUGCCAUAAUAUAAAAAAAAAAACCACUAAAAUGUUUUUAAGCAACUGUGUUCCUCUUGUUAGUGGCUUUCCAGUUACAUAGUUGAGAUGGGCUGACGGGGGCAGUGUGCAGUGGAGAUUUGAUAGAAUCCCUCCAGGUUAUUGUAAACUCAAUUGAGCAGAAUUAUAUAAAUGAGAGAAUGUUUUGGCAUUGUUUUAUAAUCUUUAUGAAAAAUUCCCAUAAGUUUUUCAAUCGUAUAAUAGCAUUAUAUGAUUACAGAGUCCACUUUUUCAAUAUUGUAAUUAUAGAGCUGAGAGGCUUGAAGAGAAAGAUAGCCAGACUUACGGAAGGGAACAGGAUAUGUUUGUGGGUAUUUUAUUGUGAGGACUUGGACAUUUGAAAUGGAAAACAUGAGAAUCAUUUGGAAAUUUGGUUGUGCUCUGGGAGAAAAUGCUUCUGUGUGAGUAUCACAAGAAGCAGAAAGAUAAAGUUAAGUGUAUUUUUUGAAUGAGGAUCUGGAUAUUUUCCUGUAGAUUUUUUACUUAUCAAGAAAAAAGAAUACUUAAUUUAAAUGUAUUUUUAGCAUGUUCUGGCUCUGAGCCAGACUUCAUGAGUAGUUAAUAGCUCCUGCCUCUGAAGUCAUCAGGAAGCAUUUAACAAAAUAUGUAGUAAAGCGCUUUCGAAAUAAGCAGGCUUAAGGAUGUGGAAUCAAAGAGGGAAAAAAAAAAAAAAUCCCUACAAAAGAGGACAUCUCAUUAAAAAAAUGUGUUGAUUAUUGCAAGAAAGACAGGAGGAGAGGCAGAUCCCAACCUUGAGACCAAUUCCUUCUAAGCCCAAAGCCCAGCACUAGAUAUUUGCACUUAACUAGGGCUACCCUCCCAACCCCCAUUCUAUGCCAGCUUCCUCUUAAGAAGGUGAGAAAAUAAUAGUGCAAAGACCCACAAAGGAAGCAGUACAAGAGUAGGGGCAAAACACUUUUCAGAAGCAAAAUCAGCGGGUCUUUCGGUGAUCCACACUUUAUUGAAAAACACCAGACAGUGGAGAUUUAGUCGGUCUUGGGUAUUCAUUUCAAACUAGUUUCUGAGAAACUUCGCUGAAGAGGAAGAAGAGAGUUUGUUAAUUUUUGAAGUGACCUACUGUGGAGAUAGCCUGUAAUCUUAGGCCUGCAUCUCUGAUUUACACCAGGAGUUCGGACAGAAAUCACUGAGGGCUCUUCACCUUGCUAAGUGUCUCUGCAAGACAAGGCUGACACCCUGUUCCCUGUCACUCAGCAGGAAUGUCUAAAGGAAAAAAGUGGUGAUAGCUGCAGAAGUGCUUUGUGCUCUUUUUCUGAAACUAAAUUCUACAUGCUGUUCUGAGCUCAUAAAUAAGUAAGAUACCUGCUAGGCCAAUGAGUAGCAUACAAAGGAGCUGUUGUACGUCUCUGGCAUCAUCAGCAAUGCCUUGCUCUGCGGGGCACUAGUGUCUUAAGAACUUCCCAGUUCAGUCCUUAGAACUAAAAGAUGUGUGCUGAUUGGAACUCAGGGAUCUGUUUUAUCUUAUAUUAAAGCAUGCCAGCACUGACUUCAGAUACAUGUGUUAUGAAGUAACAUUUGUAUUAGUCAAAGCUGAGAAAUUUAAUUAAGAAUAAUGUCUCUUGUUUUUUUUUUCCCCAUGGAAGUAUUUACAGGACUGAGCGAUUUGAUGACUAAUGAACAUAUUUAAAGGGCAUCUGGUACUGAUCAUGGAAACCAAAAAAUAAAGUAAAAUUUGUUCCUGUUGGCAACUUGCUAUUCCAGUAGAAUCAUAUGCUGAAUGGUACUCCUGAGAUUUUUUUAACAUAAAUAUUCUAUAGUUACCCAGCCAAUUUUCACUUGCAAGGGGAAAAUACUUCAAAUUGGCUACAUAUUAAAAAAAUGAGUCCCAAAUAAAUCCACGUGCAGAAAAUACCACUCAAUUUGGUAUGCCUUGGUAAUGAAGAGAUCCUUAAAAAAGAAGGAAGGAAGGAAGGAAGGAAGGAAGGAAGGAAGGAAGGAAGGAAGGAAGGAAGGAAGGAAA